AAAUUGAAGAGUUUGAUCAUGGCUCAGAUUGAACGCUGGCGGCAGGCCUAACACAUGCAAGUCGAACGGUAACAGGAAGCAGCUUGCUGCUUCGCUGACGAGUGGCGGACGGGUGAGUAAUGUCUGGGAAACUGCCUGAUGGAGGGGGAUAACUACUGGAAACGGUGGCUAAUACCGCAUAACGUCGCAAGACCAAAGAGGGGGACCUUCGGGCCUCUUGCCAUCAGAUGUGCCCAGAUGGGAUUAGCUUGUUGGUGAGGUAACGGCUCACCAAGGCGACGAUCCCUAGCUGGUCUGAGAGGAUGACCAGCCACACUGGAACUGAGACACGGUCCAGACUCCUACGGGAGGCAGCAGUGGGGAAUAUUGCACAAUGGGCGCAAGCCUGAUGCAGCCAUGCCGCGUGUAUGAAGAAGGCCUUCGGGUUGUAAAGUACUUUCAGCGGGGAGGAAGGUGUUGUGGUUAAUAACCGCAGCAAUUGACGUUACCCGCAGAAGAAGCACCGGCUAACUCCGUGCCAGCAGCCGCGGUAAUACGGAGGGUGCAAGCGUUAAUCGGAAUUACUGGGCGUAAAGCGCACGCAGGCGGUCUGUCAAGUCGGAUGUGAAAUCCCCGGGGCUCAACCUGGGAACUGCAUUCGAAACUGGCAGGCUUGAGUCUUGUAGAGGGGGGUAGAAUUCCAGGUGUAGCGGUGAAAUGCGUAGAGAUCUGGAGGAAUACCGGUGGCGAAGGCGGCCCCCUGGACAAAGACUGACGCUCAGGUGCGAAAGCGUGGGGAGCAAACAGGAUUAGAUACCCUGGUAGUCCACGCCGUAAACGAUGUCUACUUGGAGGUUGUGCCCUUGAGGCGUGGCUUCCGGAGCUAACGCGUUAAGUAGACCGCCUGGGGAGUACGGCCGCAAGGUUAAAACUCAAAUGAAUUGACGGGGGCCCGCACAAGCGGUGGAGCAUGUGGUUUAAUUCGAUGCAACGCGAAGAACCUUACCUGGUCUUGACAUCCACAGAAGAAUCCAGAGAUGGAUUUGUGCCUUCGGGAACUGUGAGACAGGUGCUGCAUGGCUGUCGUCAGCUCGUGUUGUGAAAUGUUGGGUUAAGUCCCGCAACGAGCGCAACCCUUAUCCUUUGUUGCCAGCGGUUAGGCCGGGAACUCAAAGGAGACUGCCAGUGAUAAACUGGAGGAAGGUGGGGAUGACGUCAAGUCAUCAUGGCCCUUACGACCAGGGCUACACACGUGCUACAAUGGCGCAUACAAAGAGAAGCGACCUCGCGAGAGCAAGCGGACCUCAUAAAGUGCGUCGUAGUCCGGAUUGGAGUCUGCAACUCGACUCCAUGAAGUCGGAAUCGCUAGUAAUCGUGGAUCAGAAUGCCACGGUGAAUACGUUCCCGGGCCUUGUACACACCGCCCGUCACACCAUGGGAGUGGGUUGCAAAAGAAGUAGGUAGCUUAACCUUCGGGAGGGCGCUUACCACUUUGUGAUUCAUGACUGGGGUGAAGUCGUAACAAGGUAACCGUAGGGGAACCUGCGGUUGGAUCACCUCCUUACCUUAAAGAA
rnacentral:rRNA from 1 species